CUUAUUAUUCUCUUGAUAGACUAAUCCUCUCUCUGUAUAAUAGAUGACAAAGAAUAUUUGCUUUUAAGUUGAACAAAUAGUGGAAUUCAUUCAAAUUACCGAAUAUAAAUAACUCACCUCUCUAUUCUUCUACAAAUAUCUCUCUCAUCUCUCUCCUCAGCACCAAAGAUCAGUCGUCUUCCUCACUUGGCUUCGCCAGAAAGGCACGGCAGCUGGCGGCUCUGUCGCCGUCCUCUCCGAUGGGUAACCACCUCUAAACACGAAGGGACAAACACCAACCUUACCUUAAAUUUUGUCUUAAACACGAAUCCACGUCUAUUUUCUUUCAAAUUAUUACCUAACGUUCAGAUCAAAACCUUACUCUUAACUUAUGUUAUCUUAAACAAAACAAAAACUAUUUCUGAGCAAGCAAGCAAAUCACAUCCGAAUCCAACACACAAAAACAUGACUUCUAACGCAAAAGAGUUUUCAUGAAGAACAAGCGGCAAAGCGCGAUUUGAAGACACGCAAGGCAAAAUCAACUUUCAACAAUCACUUAUCAUGCUCGUAUGUAUAGAAUAAAUUAAAGGGGGGGAACAAUAUCGCCUAGAGGUUUACCAGAAAGACAUAUUCAAAGGUAAAUACUUUCUUCUUGCCUUUCGUUCCUCUUGUUAGUUGGCUUCUUCCUUCUACUCGCUUCUGUGCUUGAUUUGAUUUGUCAGGGAUUAGCUCAGUUUACUCAGAGUUUUGAUGAUAAACUCUGAGUCCCCCUUUGAUGUUUUGAGCUUUUGGGUACCGAUUGAGGUGGGAUUUCGGCAGGGUAAUAAUAUUUUUUUUCUUUCCCGUUUCAAUGAUUGGACAAGUGAUUUUAUAGGCGGAAAAUCAAGUGUUCGCCCAUGAGAAUUUGAGGAUAAAUCCAAAGAUAAAUCCUAGGGAACAUGUGAGUAUUAGCUGUCCGAAUUUUGCUAGGAUUUCCAAUUUGUUGGAACGGAUCUUUCUCCCGAUCCUGUGGGGACCAAAUGCGUGAGAGGUACUAAGUUUGUUUGUAGCAUAAUCUGAAUUGGCAUUCUAAACGUGUGGUCCCAUAAUGAAUUUUCACUGAUGCUAGUUUUUAUAUUGAGGUAUAAUGUUUACUAAUAGGCCUUCAUGAUGGUUACUCUCAGUUAAAGUGAUGGUAACUCAAAGCUUGUGGACGAUUUUGGGCCUUCAAGUUUCAGAAUCUCGAGUCAUGUUUCAUGGUACCAUGUCAACCAGAAAGUGAAUGCGGAAUGGUUUUGUUGAAACGGAUGUAGAGCUAGGUACAAAAGGGCGCAAAUUUGAAGUUUUGUAGUAAUGAAUUUGAGACAACAAUGUUUGUAAUCCGGAACUUGCAAUUCCAUGACGUAAAUCCUGGCCUUUGUACAUGAAAUCCAGAACUUGAUUGUUUAUGUAAUUUAUCUUGUAGUAAAUGCUCAUAUGAAUUUGUACAUGGAAUCCAUGGAUA